AGUAAUGUAUGGGGAUCUGCCCGAUAGAGGGGGAUAACUACUGGAAACGGUGGCUAAUACCGCAUAAUGUCUACGGACCAAAGCAGGGGCUCUUCGGACCUUGCACUAUCGGAUGAACCCAUAUGGGAUUAGCUAGUAGGUGGGGUAAAGGCUCACCUAGGCGACGAUCUCUAGCUGGUCUGAGAGGAUGGUCAGCCACACUGGGACUGAGACACGGCCCAG
rnacentral:rRNA from 1 species